rnacentral:rRNA from 1 species
AGUGAACGCUGGCGGUAGGCCUAACACAUGCAAGUCGAACGGCAGCACAGUAAGAGCUUGCUCUUACGGGUGGCGAGUGGCGGACGGGUGAGGAAUACAUCGGAAUCUACUUUUUCGUGGGGGAUAACGUAGGGAAACUUACGCUAAUACCGCAUACGACCUACGGGUGAAAGCAGGGGAUCUUCGGACCUUGCGCGAUUGAAUGAGCCGAUGUCGGAUUAGCUAGUUGGCGGGGUAAAGGCCCACCAAGGCGACGAUCCGUAGCUGGUCUGAGAGGAUGAGCCGCCACAGUGGAGCGUAGAGGCGGACCGGACUACGACGGGAGGCCGCAGAGGGGGAUAGUGGACAAUGGUCGCGAGCUUGAACGAGCUUUAGCGAGUAAGUGAAGAAGGCAGUUGAGUUCUACAGCCCUCUUGUUGGGCAAGAAAAACACCCGGUUGAUACCCCGCUGUGAUGAGCGGACCCAAUAGAUAGAAACGCGCACAGUUCAUC